rnacentral:rRNA from 1 species
AGGGAAUCUUCCGCAAUGGACGAAAGCCUGAUGCAGCAACGCCGCGUGAGUGAAGAAGGUUUUCGGAUUGUAAAGCUCUGUCAUCUGGGACGAUAAUGACGGUACCAGAUGAGGAAGCCACGGCUAACUACGUGCCAGCAGCCGCGGUAAUACGUAGGUGGCAAGCGUUGUCCGGAAUUACUGGGCGUAAAGGGUGCGCAGGCGGACAUUUAAGUGAGAUGUGAAAGACCCGGGCUUAACUUGGGCAGUGCAUUUCAAACUGGAUGUCUGGAGUGCAGGAGAGGAGAACGGAAUUCCUAGUGUAGCGGUGAAAUGCGUAGAGAUUAGGAAGAACACCAGUGGCGAAGGCGGUUCUCUGGACUGUAACUGACGCUGAGGCACGAAAGCGUGGGUAGCAAAC